rnacentral:rRNA from 1 species
UACGGAGGGUGCAAACGUUGCUCGGAAUCAUUGGGCGUAAAGCGCACGUAGGCGGUCUUUUAAGUCGGAUGUGAAAGCCCCAGGCUCAACCUGGGAAGUGCAUUCGAAACUGAAAGGCUGGAGUACGGAAGAGGGUCUCGGAAUUCCCGGUGUAGAGGUGAAAUUCGUAGAUAUCGGGAGGAACACCAGUGGCGAAGGCGGAGACCUGGGCCGAUACUGACGCUGAGGUGCGAAAGCGUGGGGAGCAAACAGG